UAAUAUGUAUACAAUAGUUUGCUAUAAAUUCGAUGUGAAUGAUAUGAAUUCAGGAGCAAGAACUGAGUUACAGAAAAAUCUGUAGUUAUGUUAUCAAUAUUUUUAAACCGGUGUUAUGAAAUAAUUGACCAAUAUUGUCAUAGGCAAUAAUUGCUUAGAUUAGACUCAUGAUUUUUAUAGUAAAAGGAAGCAUGCAAUUAGGAAUAAGAAAAAACAUACAAUAAUUAAAUAUCCUUACUUUGUGUAUCCUGUGUAAACCAGAGUGUGCAUUACAUUUUUAUACAUUCAAGUGUAUGUUGUGCAGUUAAUCAUAAAUCCAUGUUCUAUAUCAAUUUUUCUCCCUGCUUUAGAAACUCGGGUAAAUCUCAUAUUUAAUACAUCCUUCAUAUAACCAAACUUUUAUCAAAAGUAGAGUAGAAAAGAAAUGUGGAUAUUAAUUGUGGUUUCUAUGUAAAACUGUGAUCUUUUCUGAUAUAAAAUACAUCACAUCAAGAAAGUUAAAAAAAAAUCCUUAAAACAAAAAGCUGCUGAAAAAGUCAACUAAAAAGGGCUUAGACGCAAAAAUAAAGAAUUCACAAAAUUAAGUUGGCUUACAGUAACCAUGUUCAAAAUUUAAACUUUCUUAAUAGACUAGUCCUAAAGCUACAUAAAAGAUAACAAUGAUGAACAGUAUGUCUAAGUAUUGACUUUUCAUACUUCCAGUUCUGUCUGAGGAGAUCUUCAUUAUUAGCAUUCAUGACUAAACCAUUUGAAAUUAAACUUUCAACCAUAAUUGCAAUUAUAUUUUGAGAUUUAUAAUUACCUCCCUUACAAAUACUCUUUUAAAGUAGAAGUAAGUAAUCUUACUUUAUCACACCAAAUAAAUAUGUUUUGUGUCUCAUGUUUCUAAAAAACAUUUUUACAUUAAUGAGUAUAAUUUUACUGACGUCAGGUAGAGAAAAACAGACGACUUUCUAUAUGAGCUGCAUCAGAUAAAAAUAUCUUAUGCAAAAGAAUAUCAAUACAUCUGUUAACCUUUUAUUGUUUGAAAAAUAUAUCAAUGCAAAAACUGUAACUGUUUAAAAAUUUAUUUAAUUUUAAGUACAGUACGCACAGAGAGUUUGUUGUCGCAAACUCUAAUCACGGAUUUCGGAGUGUAGCGGUGUCACACUGCGAAUCACGGAUUAUACUCCCAAUUUCCUCCAAGGAUUCUCUCCCAACACUGCAUGGCUGUUAAUUGGUUUAUUGACCAUUGGAUGUACUGAAAUUUAAUGACGCAUGACAACAUAAUCUGAUACGACAGGUUUAUUACCUCUGUAUAUUUAAUUGAUCUUGAUUGCACCUGUGUGAUUUAAAACACGGUAUUAAAAUG
rnacentral:lncRNA from 1 species